rnacentral:sRNA from 1 species
AAUAAAAAAAAAAGUAAACGAGGAAAUAUGGAUCUACAACAGACGGAUUAAAUCAUGUAAAUAAAACUUAAAAAAGGGGAUCAAAAUGGCUGCCAAAAAAAAAAUCGGAUCAAAAUGACAUGGAACUAGGUAUGCAUGUCAAAACAACUUUUAACAGCAUGAAAACUUUGACUUUUGAGGUUAAGAAGGAUAGAGAUACCAAAUUUGCUUGCUCAAAGAAUAUAGUACUACAUUGUUUAAAACCGAACCGAACCAAUAACCCAAUAUGUUUAUUAAU